rnacentral:rRNA from 1 species
UACGUAGGGGGCAAGCGUUGUCCGGAAUCAUUGGGCGUAAAGAGCGUGUAGGCGGCCAGAUAGGUCCGUUGUGAAACCUGGAGGCUUAACCUCCAGCCGUCGAUGGAAACCAUCUGGCUAGAGUCCGGAAGAGGAGAGUGGAAUUCCUGGUGUAGCGGUGAAAUGCGCAGAUAUCAGGAAGAACACCCGUGGCGAAGGCGGCUCUCUGGGACGGUACUGACGCUGAGACGCGAAAGCGUGGGGAGCGAACAGG